rnacentral:lncRNA from 1 species
CGAUACCGUUUCGAUAAAGACCAGACAUUUCCCAUCUUGAUCUUUUUUAAGACCAUAAAGUUUGGUGAGGUACGAGGAGUUGAUGUCAUACAACAUCCUCAUACACCAUUUGGCCUCAGCAAAUGUGGUAUAAGAUUAAGAAACUAUACUAGCUUCACAUUUUUCAUCAGAUCCCUCAAAUUGCACCAUGCACUCCCAAAGGUUUCUUGCAUUUGGAUUUUUUCUUCCAAAUUCAUAUUAUACGAUGACUUUGGAAAAAUCAAGCAUUGCACUACAAUCGACAGUCUGGUAUGCACCGAAAAAAAGAAAAUAAUCAUUGUGAGCAGAUUCACUAAAUAAUAGAGAUGAAGCUGACACUAAAGUAUGACUGGCUACCAGUAAUCCGAUUUCAGAUUGAUGGUAAUUGUACGUGAAGUACGUUGUACGUCUUGUAGAUGAACACACACAUAUCGUUAACAUGCUCUCUAUAUUCCGAAGACAUGCAACAUAUGUACAACAAUGCAAACCUAACUUGAUCUUACACCUAUAGCAUGCACAUUUCAAAGUGAAUAACUCAAACAUGCUAAUAUUUCUUUUAUAAGGUUUACAUUUAUAUCCACUUCAAAAAAUAUUCUAGAACUAUAUCAACAAUUAAAGAUUAAAAGGCACAAAAAUUUAAAAAUGUACUUAUACAUUUUACACUUCUGAAUUUCAGUUCCCACCCCAUCACAAAUAAAAAAUAAAAGAAGCUCAAUCUGACAUAGCAAAACUAUUCAGCUGCUUUAAACUUUAGGAAGCUACAUUAGAUAUUCCUGCUAAAACAAGAAUAGGAGUGUCAAUGAGCAAGUUGUCUCAAAUUUGGAUAAGUUAAAAUAAGCUGAACUUUAGGAAGCUACAUUAGAUAUUUCUGCUAAAACAAGAAUAGGAGUGUCAAUGAGCAAGUUGUCUCAAAUUUGGAUAAGUUAAUGACCAAAAUGUACUGGGUCAAGAUGGCCUAAACACUCAUUGACACUCAUUGAAACACUCAUUGACACUGUUGACAUUGGGUAACAACCAAACCCAUCCACCGUACCCCAUCUCCCAUUAGGCGAGAGAAAUUGGCAUGAAACUGUUGAAAUCGACAAGAGAUGUGAGGUACAUUACUUUGACAGAGAAAACAAGCAUCAUGUGGAUCAAAACUCGUAAGCGAGAAAUUUGGAUGUUAUUCAAAUAAAAGCCAAAAAUUAUUUAUGUGAAUAUGAUUACCCAGAAAGAAUUCUAUGUAAAUAUCUAUGUGCAUUUUUUUUUUCUCAGGGAAAUCUAGAGAAGCAGAAAUACAUGGAGAAUCCAAUUAAAUAUUCUAUGACCCGUGCAAUAAUAUAAAAAGAACACUAAACUAUCACAUAGGAAUAAUAGUAGAGUGUUGCCCGUGCUAAGCACUGGCCCAACAACUUGAAUGCUGAUACAGUUUGGUUGUGUGUAAUGUCGCAUGUUAUAUAGGAUUGAGAUACUACAUAGCAACAAUAACUACAAUUUCACAAACACAAACGCAAGGUUCCAUCCUCAGUAAAUAAUGACAAUAGAAGACUAUAUAUUGGCUCCCUAUUUUUUCUUAUAUAUAUAACUGAGAUAUACCAUUCUCUUCUACUUUUCUUGAUAAUAUACUUGCAAUAUCAAACCCAAGCAUAUCGCUUAUUUGCGGGCAUUUCCUACCCAUCAUGUUAAUAUCGUUUACACCAUGAAUAAAAGACAAUUAAGAGCCAUAUAGAGUAAUGUACGAUUGUUCAUUGCUGGAAACAUCCCUUUGAAUUCUUCAAAGAAGCUUCAGUCCUAUUCCAAAAACGAAAGAAAUUAAAUAUUUUUGAAAAAGAAAACAUUAACUGAUAAAGUUCCAUAGCAAGAAUUUGGAAAGUAACAUUAGAGGGAGGGAGAGCGAGGGACACAAACCAAGGAUUCUCGCAAAUAAACUACUUCAAAGUACCAUACCCAAGUGUCAAGUUGUGCCCCUUUAGAGAAGACGAUAAGGUAAGGUUUUAUCAUAUUCAUAAAUCUAGAUAUACU